AACACAACGGCCAACAAUCCCUGUAAACACAUACAUACGUUAUUGUCAUCGAACUAAGGUCGAUUGACCAAAACGAUGCAACGGCUUCUCAGAUCAUAAUGUACUUUGUAGAUUUGAAGGUUAUAUUGAGAGUGCACAAGUGUUUAUAUGUCACAUCAAAGUGACCUAGUUUUACAAAUGAAAUUUUACUUGGGAUUUUCUUCAGCUAUGACCCUGCAGUGAGUGUUUUCGUAGUCGGUGGUCUCUGGGAGACAGUGGCGAUAAUGUAUCGAAAGUGAGUUCACGGCUGUUUUUAGAAUACGAAAGAUAGUAAACGAAUCAGCUUGAUUAUAUGAGAAUGCAAGUUUUAACGAAAUAUGAAUUUCAUUGUAUUUUCAAUGAACGGAGCAAUUAGGUUAAGUUGACGAGAAGUGUAUAAAUUUUCUGUUACUUCUCCAGAACGUAGAAGGUAAUUUAUGAAUGCACGUUCAAUAAAGCAAAACAAUAAGCCAAGAUGAAAUAUGAUUGUUCAAACUUUUGGAUAUUAGUAUUAAAUAAACAUUGUAUGGCCCUAAUGAAUUAUGCGGUGCAAAUUGGGCAUUAUGUACUUGUAUAUAUGAACAACGCGUAAAGUAGUCUGUCUACUUCUGCAAGAUGCCACACGUUACAAGAAAAUGGGAACUUUUCCCAGGUAGAAAUCGAUUCUGUUGUGACGGUAGGGUGAUGAUGGCACCCCAAACUGGAGUAUUUUAUGUGACUGUGUGUCUUAUUGCUGGAACAAGUGGAUUAUUUUUUGCUUUCGAUUGUCCAUUCUUAGCAGUUCAUAUAACACCUGCUAUACCAGUUAUUGGUGGUUUAUUGUUUGUUUUUGUAAUGUCCGCAUUAUUCAGAACAAGUUUUAGCGAUCCUGGAGUUAUUCCAAGAGCAACACCUGAUGAAGCUGCCUAUAUUGAAAAACAAAUUGAGGUACCAAACAAUGGCAAUUCCAAAAUGUAUAGACCUCCGCCUAGAACAAAAGAGAUAUUAGUAAAAGGACAGCCGGUAAAAUUAAAGUAUUGUUUUACUUGUAAGAUAUUUAGACCACCAAGGGCUUCGCAUUGUAGUUUAUGCGACAAUUGUGUAGAGAGGUUUGACCAUCACUGUCCUUGGGUUGGAAAUUGUGUAGGCAGAAGAAAUUACAGAUAUUUUUAUGCUUUUAUUGUGUCCUUGGCAUUUCUUUGCGUUUUUAUAUUUGCGUGUGCUGUAACACAUUUAAUAAUGCUUACGAGAGAUGAUAGACCAUUUCUAGAAGCAGUGAGGAUAUCUCCUGGAAGUGUUGUUGUAGGAGUUAUAUGUUUUUUCUCUGUUUGGAGUAUUCUUGGUCUAGCUGGGUUUCAUACAUAUUUAACUACCAGUAAUCAGACAACUAAUGAAGAUAUUAAAGGAUCGUUUUCCAUUAAAAGAGGACAAGAAAGUUUUAAUCCUUAUAGUCAAGGAAAUAUUUGUGGAAAUUGUUUCUACGUAUUGUGUGGACCGGCACCACCUAGCUUAAUUGAUCGAAGGGGUAUAGUAACACCUGAAUAUCGCGCAGAACAAGAAAGGGUUAGCGAUGAUAGUGUGAUUACUAAUAAUAAAACAUACGGUACUGUGAAAAUUGUACAACCACAGUCUAAUGGGACAACUGUUCAGGCAAACCCUAGCCCAGAUCUUACGGGUUCCAUGAAUAAUCUCGUUUCUGGUCAACAUUCGCCGCAGAUCGAAUCGAUAAACGGUGAGUUAAGCCUUUUAAGGCAUACUAUCCGUUAUCCUGAGGAUCUUUCCAAGUACCCGCGACAGUAUAUAAAUGACACAUACGUUCCGACAUAUCCCCUACAGCAUUGUUUUCAGGAUUCUGUAAAACAUAUAAAAUAUGAUACAGAUAGGGGAAAUCCAGAUUUUCAAAAAUAUCCAUGUAGAUGUGAAGAGAAUUUACAUAAAUAUCCUCACAGGUGUAGGGAAGAGUAUAACAGAUGUUCGGAUAAUAAUUUAAUGUAUGAUCAGUGUGUCGGCGAUCAGAAAUAUGGUAUCGAUCUUCAGAAGUAUCCGCAAAGAUAUUCCGAAGAUCCGAUACGUCAUAAAAUCGACGAUAAAAGUAUUUACACCGACCUUCAAAAAUUUCCCCAAUGCUAUUCGGAAGAUCCAUUACGAAUUUCUCAAUCCCAACAAACUCUCAAGUAUAAUAACCUGAGAUGCACUGUUCAUGGUUUAAAAUAUCCGAUAUCAAAGAAUCUCUUGCCAACUGUUGUAAUGUCACGAAUAUUAGGGGCAGGGGGGAUGCCAAUUAUUGGGCAAAAUGCGAUUGGACUUGCAGUUAACAGAUUUGGUUCAGGGCCAUUGACCAAUACUUUCUCUUAUGCGGAAAAUUCUCUAUGUCCUAGCGACAGUACUGAAGAAGAUCUUUUAAAUCGUAGAUUUAUUAUGAGUUCAAUGAGCGAUAACGAUGAUAUUUAAUAUUUUUCAUAAUAAUUGCAUUUUUUUAAAAUAACAAUAUAAUAUAUUGAAACGAAACUUAAAUAAACGGCCAUAGCGUAUUUGUUAGGAAAAAUUCUUUUAGCGUGUUGAAAUUAAAAUAAUAUAAGUUUUGAUGUUUCGAUUGUUCAUUAUUAGAAGCUUACAAUAUACAAACUUUUUAGUAUGUAUAUACAUAUUAGUAAAGAUAAUGAUAUGUAAGUUGAUAUACAUAUAUUAAUAACAUUAACAAAAGGUAAUUAUUAUUAUCAUGUUCAUGUUGUUCAUGUUUUCUCGUGCUAUAUCUUAUACAAAUCUUUAUGAAUGAGAUACAUUCAAGUUGAAUUUGAUUGUUAUCAGCAGAGAUUUAUUUAUUUUUUGACUGUUCAAUUUGGUACUGAGCUCAUGGAUAUUUUUUCUUAAGAAACGAAGAAGAGAGAUGUUAAUAUCCUUGUUAUUAUGGUAUAUAUCUUGACUGAAAAAAAGGACUGAACUAUUAAUUUCAUUGCAAUUUUUAAUACUAAUAUGUGAACAUAGUUAUUUGCUUUUAUAGUACAGCUGCAUUAGUAGAACAUGGUAUAUUUAUUAAUUCAGUAAAUUACGUCAUUAUACUAAUCUUUAAUAUGGUAAAGAAAUUGAUCUGGAUAUAGAUCGGAUCCAUUAAUAGGUUGCAUAAAUUUACAUUCUUUAUUGUUUAGUCAUAUUUCUACAUGAUUGAAUAAAUUGUAUUUCUUUGUUGUUUAAAAUUACGUCCUGUUAUCGAGGGCUCAGAGCAUACCGUUUGGUAGCACCACGAACAGCGUGAGCCAACUUGUUACCAAUGAAGUACCACUAGCGUCACUUAAUAUAGCUCCAAUUGAUAUCGACGAA